GACGAACGCUGGCGGCGUGCCUAAUACAUGCAAGUUGAGCGCUGAAGGUUGGUACUUGUACCAACUGGAUGAGCAGCGAACGGGUGGGUAACGCGUGGGGAAUCUGCCUUUGAGCGGGGGACAACAUUUGGAAACGAAUGCUAAUACCGCAUAAAAACUUUAAACACAAGUUUUAAGUUUGAAAGAUGCAAUUGCAUCACUCAAAGAUGAUCCCGCGUUGUAUUAGCUAGUUGGUGAGGUAAAGGCUCACCAAGGCGAUGAUACGUAGCCGACCUGAGAGGGUGAUCGGCCACAUUGGGACUGAGACACGGCCCAAACUCCUACGGGAGGCAGCAGUAGGGAAUCUUCGGCAUUAGACGAAAGUCUGACCGAGCAACGCCGCGUGAGUGAAGAAGGUUUUCGGAUCGUAAAACUCUGUUGGUAGAGAAGAACGUUGGUGAGAGUGGAAAGCUCAUCAAGUGACGGUAACUACCCAGAAAGGGACGGCUAACUACGUG
rnacentral:rRNA from 1 species